rnacentral:rRNA from 1 species
ACGCUGGCGGCGCGCCUAACACAUGCAAGUCGAACGAGAGAUGAGGAGCUUGCUCUUCAAAUCGAGUGGCGAACGGGUGAGUAACGCGUGAGGAACCUGCCUCAAAGAGGGGGACAACAGUUGGAAACGACUGCUAAUACCGCAUAAGCCCACGGCUCGGCAUCGAGCAGAGGGAAAAGGAGCAAUCCGCUUUGAGAUGGCCUCGCGUCCGAUUAGCUAGUUGGUGAGGUAACGGCCCACCAAGGCGACGAUCGGUAGCCGGACUGAGAGGUUGAACGGCCACAUUGGGACUGAGACACGGCCCAGACUCCUACGGGAGGCAGCAGUGGGGAAUAUUGCACAAUGGGGGAAACCCUGAUGCAGCGACGCCGCGUGGAGGAAGAAGGUCUUCGGAUUGUAAACUCCUGUUGUUGAGGAAGAUAAUGACGGUACUCAACAAGGAAGUGACGGCUAACUACGUGCCAGCAGCCGCGGUAAAAUGUAGGUCACAAGCGUUGUCCGGAAUUACUGGGUGUAAAGGGAGCGCAGGCGGGAAGACAAGUUGGAAGUGAAAUCCAUGGGCUCAACCCAUGAACUGCUUUCAAAACUGUUUUUCUUGAGUAGUGCAGAGGUAGGCGGAAUUCCCGGUGUAGCGGUGGAAUGCGUAGAUAUCGGGAGGAACACCAGUGGCGAAGGCGGCCUACUGGGCACCAACUGACGCUGAGGCUCGAAAGUGUGGGUAGCAAACAGGAUUAGAUACCCUGGUAGUCCACACCGUAAACGAUGAUUACUAGGUGUUGGAGGAUUGACCCCUUCAGUGCCGCAGUUAACACAAUAAGUAAUCCACCUGGGGAGUACGACCGCAAGGUUGAAACUCAAAUGAAUUGACGGAAGGGCAG